rnacentral:rRNA from 1 species
GAGUUUGAUCAUGGCUCAGAGCGAACGCUGGCGGCAGGCCUAACACAUGCAAGUCGAGCGGCCGUAGCAAUACGGCAGCGGCAGACGGGAGAGUAACACGUGGGAACGCGCCCUUCGGUUCGGAAUAACUCAGGGAAACUUGGGCUAAUACCGGAUACGCCCUUACGGGGAAAGAUUUAUUGCCGAAGGAACGGCCCGCGUCCGAUUAGCUUGUUGGUGAGGUAACGGCUCACCAAGGCGACGAUCGGUAGCUGGUCUGAGAGGAUGACCAGCCUCACUGGGACUGAGACACGGCCCAGACUCCUACGGGAGGCAGCAGUGGGGAAUAUUGGACAAUGGGCGCAAGCCUGAUCCAGCCAUGCCGCGUGGGUGAUGAAGGCCCUAGGGUUGUAAAGCUCUUUUGUGCGGGAAGAUAAUGACGGUACCGCAAGAAUAAGCCCCGGCUAACUUCGUGCCAGCAGCCGCGGUAAUGCCCA